GAGGGGGGUCAGUUCCCCUGCCCUUGAAUCCAGGCUCUCCUGUUGCUUGCUCCAGAGAACACAGCAGACGUGAAGGUGAUAAUGAGCCAGACCCCUAAGGCGGUGGGUUCCCUCUUUAAGUCACCCCUGGUAAGGUAACUUGGAAAUCAGAGCUCCCCCCUUUGUGGGGGACAGCACCUUGGUACCACUUCUAGCGGAGAGAGGGUGCGGCGUGGGUAGGAAGUAAUGCAGAAAGUUUUCAGGUCUCCCGUUCAGAACUGGGGAAAAGGGAAACACAGUGGCUCGCUGUUCCUCCUUCUUCAUUGGAAAGGAAGCUCUAGCAAGCUGGAAGACCAAGUGGGAACAGGGACCUCCUCCAUCGCAGUCCAAAGGAGCGCCUGGAUCACGCUUGUCUGGACAUUGAAGCCCGCUGGAGCACCAGGAGAGCCGUGGUGAGCCAGCAGGAGGGGACUGCGCAAGUUGCUGAAAGAGAUUCGUUAAAACCUCGACCAUGGUUACAAAUUUGCCCACUUGUCUCUUUUGUUCUGUCAACUUUCUGCUUCAUGCAGCCCUGUUAUUAGAUGUCCCCGAUUCGAUCGGUGGAAGCCACUUCAAGACAGCUUCUGUAUCCUUCUGACAUGUCCCCAUUAUUCUUUGAGCGCUUCCGUGCAUUUUGGCCCAGGAUGCUCCAGACUCGCCUUGUACUUUCCCUGCCCAGUCCUGGAAUCAGCCAUUCUCUGGGGAUCCCUGCCUUCUUUCUUUGAAACCGUUGUUUAGAAAACAAAAUCUAGGUCUUGCUAAUGAGGUGUAUCCACUCCUGGCUCUGUGUGAACACAGCUUGAGAAUAUGUAUGCAUAUGUAUACAUACAUAUAGUAUCUAUUAUAUAUCUGUUAUAUAUGCAUAUAUUAUUAUAAUGUAUUAAUAUAUGUGUAUAUAUAGAUGAAUCCACUCAGAUAUAUUCUUUUCCAAAUAAACAUCACAGGGUUCAUUCCAGUUUUCUCCUUUUCUAUAUUUAUAACUCCCUCUCUCACUAAACCCAAACCUCCUCCCCCCUCCUCACCCUGCUCAGGAUCUGACACCCCACAUCUGGCGUCCCUCCCAUGGGAAUGCCCUUCUCAUCCUGUCUGGGCUCUGACAUCCUGCUCUGGGCCACCGUGGCUUCCUCCACUCUCCACACCGUGCACACAAACGCAUCCACGCCACGCCUUGCUCUGCCCCACCUGAUGGCUUUAAAUUGUUCACACAUGGAAGAGAAGAAAAGGGAAAGGAAAGAGGACCAUGAAUUGCCUUUAUUUUUGAAAAAAAAAAUUCACAGGAUAUAGAACUUUUUUUUUGUACAGUUAAAAAUGCCUUUCCAUUGUCGUCUGGAUUUCAUAGUUGCGAUCAACAUGUCAGCCAUAACUCAUUGUUGCUCCUUGGAAUAUGAUGUGUUUUCAUUUUUCUUGGCUGCUUUUAACAUUUUCUCAUUGUCUUUGGUUUGCACCUCUGUGUAGUUUUCUUUGUUUUUCUUUAACUUGGGAUUCACUGAGCUUUGUGCAUCUAUGAGUUGAUGUCUUUCUCUGAUUCUGACAACUCUUGCCCUUUAUCUCUUCGAAUAUGCUUUUCUUAUUCUCUCUCCCUCCCUUUUUCUGAGAAUCCAAUUAGAUGCAUGAUCGAUAUUA